UUGCUUACCUACAAAUUUUCUAUUGCCUGAAUUUAGUUAACUUUAUUUUCUCAGUCUUCUCGGGGCUAAAGAAUUGGCAUAUUCAGAUAGACUCUCAAAUCAAAAUAACACAGAUUCGGAAGGUCUUUCGCUAUGAAUACCGAAAUAAACAGCUCAGCUACGGCAGAUGGAGAACCGAAUCUCAAGAUAAAUCGAGGGUCAUACACUUCGGUUUCUUUCAUUUCAUUAUUAGAAAGAAACGAAAACUCUCAAGCUUGGAACCAAAAGAAUAGACAAGAGACCACUUGGGCUGAUGCUGGUGGCCCUGGUUCCAAGUUGAGCAAAGUCAAGUUGGCUAGGGCUCGGCCUGUAACACGCGGUCGACCAGACUGGAUGCGUGAUCCAUUUGGUCGAACGCAAAUAAUUCAAAAUCUAAUCAUAAUGAUACCCAUCGGCAUUUUACUCGCGGAUCGCAUUCUAGAAUUUAUAUUUGUUAAGUAAUCGUCAUCAAUGAUCAUCUCGGGCUUUUUUUUCGAAAUGUGCCGAAAAGAUUGGUAAAUAAAUUAUUCGACGGUUAUACGAAAC